rnacentral:rRNA from 1 species
CCUCCGGGGAUGCGUGCAUUUAUCAGACCCAAAACCCAUGCGGGCCAAUCUCGGUUGCCCCGGCCGCUUUGGUGACUCUAGAUACCCUGGAGCCGAUCGCGCGCCCUUUGUGGCGGUGACGUCUCAUUCGAAUGUCUGCCCCCUAUCAACUUUCGAUGGUACUUUCUGUGCCUACCAUGGUGACCACCGGGUAACGGGGAAUCAGGGUUCGAUUCCCGGAGAGGGAGCCUGNNNNNNNNGAGCUGCCUGAAUAAUGGUGCAUGGAAUAAUGGAAUAGGACCUCGGUUCUAUUUUGUUGGUUUUCGGAACUGGAGGUAAUGAUUAACAGGGACAAACGGGGGCAUUCGUAUUGCGGCGUUAGAGGUGAAAUUCUUGGAUCGCCGCAAGACGAACUACUGCGAAAGCAUUUGUCAAGAAUGUUUUCAUUAAUCAAGAACGAAAGUCGGAGGUUUCGAAGACGAUCAGAUACCGUCGUAGUUCCGACCAUAAACGAUGCCAACUAGCGAUCCGGCGGCGUUAUUCCCAUGACCCGCCGGGCAGCGUCCGGGAAACCAAAGUCUUUGGGUUCGGGGGGGAGUGGGUUGCAAAGCUGCAACUUAAAGGAAUUGACGGAAGGACACCACCAGGAGUGGAGCCUGCGGCUUAAUUUGACUCAACACGGGAAACCUCAACCCGGCCCGGACACGGAAAGGAUUGACAGAUUGAUAGCUCUUUCUCGAUUCUGUGGGUGGUGGUGCAUGGCCGUUCUUAGUUGGUGGAGCGAUUUGUCUGGGUUAAUUCCGAUAACGAACGAGACCUCAGCCUGCUAACUAGCUAUGCGGAGGUGACCCUCCGCGGCCAGCUUCUUAGAGGGACUAUGGCCGCUUAGGCCAAGGAAGUUUGAGGCAAUAACAGGUCUGUGAUGCCCUUAGAUGUCCGGGGCUGCACGCGCGCCACACUGAGCGGAUCAGCGUGUGUCUACCCUUCGCCGAGAGGCGUUGGUAACCCGAUGACCCCACUCGUGAUAGGGAUUGGGGAUUGCAAUUAUUUCCCAUCAACGAGGAAUUCCCAGUAAUCGCGGGUCAUAAGCUCGCGUUGAUUAAGUCCCUGCCCUUUGUACACACCGCCCGUCGCGCACGCGCGCUACACUGAAGGAAUCAGCGUGGAUGCCUCCCUGGCCCGAAAGGGUUGGGAAACCCGUUGAAUCUCCUUCGUGCUAGGGAUUGGGGCUUGUAACUGUUCCC